GUGUGUGUGUGUGUGUGUGUGUGUGUGUGUAACGGAGGAGGGGGCUCGCUCGCCGUAUCGCUCCCUCCAUCCAUCCGUCCAUCCACUCCUCCUCCACCUCUUCUUCGUUGGUGGUGUGCCGGUUGGAAGGACGCCCCCCCCCCGCGCUUUGACACACUUGCACACACGCAGCAACGCACACCUCCGCUAUGUGUCACUACCCGUUGCAGCUGCGUCUCCCCGUCGCUCCAUCUACCUACGCUUGCUCUUUUCCCACCUUUUUUUUGUUUUCUUUGCCGUCUGUCAGUCUUUGUCCCUCCUUGUUCUCAUCCCCACGCCAUCACCACGCCAUCACCGCUCCUCUGUUUCACAGGAGAAAAAGACCAACUAACGCUCUGGCCGACCAAAGUGAGAAAGAGAAGGAGGAGGAAAGAGAGAAAAGUUGAAGAGGAGAAGAAGGCGAGAAGCUGGAGAGUGCGUCUGGAGCGCGGCGGCUCCUCCUCACGCCUUGAGCCCGACUCUACUUUGAUGGAAUACCCCGGGACAGCGGAGGGCAGAAGGAGAGAGGAGGAGGAGGAGGAGAAGAAAAGGUGAAGGUGAAGGUGGACCGGGAGAAGAAACAGAGAGUGAGAGCCUCAGGAAGGGCUCCGUUUGGGAUUCUUUUCUUCUCUGAUUGCAAAACUGCUCUCCGGACUAGAAUCUCCUCUCUCCGUUUUUCUAUUUUCUAUUCUAAUUAAUACCCCCUUAUGCGAUCCCUCAAAGAUCCUCUCUCUCUCUCUUUGACUCUGCUUCUCUCCACCACGCUCUCUGCUUUCUCCCCCCUCGCUCCAUCUGUCUGCCUUUGAGAAGCAAAUAAUUGGAUGUGGAGUUUGGCUUCUUCGUGGCUGAGCCGGAGGAUCGAGGCUGUACGGCACUUCACACACACCAUUAUGCGCAUGCAUACACUGGGAGCUCAGGGUGUGCGUAUGCGUGUGUGAUUGUGAGUGAAUGCCGGAGUGUGUGUGUGUGUGUGUGUGUGUGUGAACCUCCUUCUUUGCUGAUGUUUUGUGUCAUUUUUAAAGGGUACGGCUGGUGUGAGUUCUCAUUUAAUCCCGUGAAAAGACCAAACCAACUUCAUGUUUCGGCCCUCUCCAAUAUCUUAGUCUAAGAUGUAAAUUUACAUUUAAAAAAAGACUAAAUGAUGCACGACAUCAUUUAGUCUUUUGGGUAAACCCCUUUGAACAAUGAGUAAACAACGCUUUUAUUGGACUAUUGUCAGUCAUCGAUGAAAAACUUCUAAUUACCCUGAUGAGUUUGCAGUAAUUGUGGGAUUUAGUCAAAAUAAACAAUGGAGGAACGUGUCGUUGUUGUUUGUAAUGGCUUUUGGGUCACAAUGGAACUCAGUGUCACAAAGAAAUAAGACUUUAGACACACCAGACGCACUUCAGUGUUCUUAGUGUUAUCUUAAACGUCACUUUGCUUCUGUUCGUUUUCAUCUCUAAAGUCAAGUGUGAUCUUCUAAAGCAGCGUCAUGCUCUUCACUUUGUCCGCGUCAAGCUGUUGGGGCUCAAUUAUCAACAAAAAAUGAUGUGACAAGGCAAGACAUUGUUCUCCCAGCGCGAGACGAAACUGGAAGAAAGCGAAAAGGAGCAGAAGAGCGAGAGAGAGAGAGAGAUGCUCGACUGUGUGAGAGACCUUUGAAGAGAUUGGUGGCAGAGGUAUUUCCCCGGAGAGAGAGAGAGAGAGAGAGAGCGAUGAAGAGGACGAGGAGGAGGAGGAGGAUCGAGGAGCGCCUGAGACGGGAAGACAGGAGGUUGUGUUGUAAUGCUGCAGGCUGGCUGAUCCACACUGAGAGGAGACGUGGAAGCCGCUCACUUUUUCUGCUCCGAGGACAGGACGCCAAGUCUCUGGUGGCGACCAAGAGACCCUCCAGAGCCGCACGCACACACACACACACACACACACACACACACACACACGCACGCACGCACGCACACACACACACGGAACAAGAAGGGUCUCCGCUUCACAUUUUCUUCUUCUUUUCUUCUUCUACUGUAUUUCAUUAUUCACUAGGUCUCUUUUUUUCCCUCCCUCUCUCUCUCUCCUCUCCACCACCUCCUGGGCCAACCACAUCUCCCUCCUCCUCCUCCUCCUCCUCCUCCUCCUCCUCCCACUACUACUACCGCUGCUCAGCUCCAUCCAGUUCAGUCCCAUUGUCCUCACGCACACACACCUUGCGCACUCACGUGUGCGCGUGUCCUCCGGAGUGCAGCUGCAGCGGAGCGCCGGGUCCCGGUCCGAGGAACAUGUGCAGGAAUCCGGGACGAACUGGCGGUUUUUAUAUCCACGGGGUGGUAAAGAGAGAGAGCGGAGGUCGGGUACGAAGGCACGGAGACAGGGAAUGAAGAGCUGGAGACCAUCGGUGUCUCACUCCGUCCAAUGAGGGAAACCACUUGUGGCCACGCAGAUCAAACUUGCAGGAUUGUCUUUGUGGAUCCGCUGCGGCGUCUGAUAGGCCAUGCCCUUCACCUGCGCCUGCUUCUGUGGCCUGAACAGCUUUUACCGUGGACUGGGAAAGAAGAAAAGGGAAAAAGUGGAGGAGGAGAAGGAGGAGGAAGAGGGUGACCGAUGGAGGGAUCAGGAGACAAAGGUGUGACAGCGCUGCUGUCCUCACCUUCAUCAGGGUAUUAUCCUUUAACAGACUGCAAUGUACAGCCCUGGGUUGUAUGCAUUAAGAUACUUUAACAGGGAUUGUUAGGGCGCCUCAUCGGGGUACAAGCUUUUUAUCGUUUAUAACAGAGAAAGGUUUUUGUCACAUAGGUUUCAGGAUUGACAUGUUUUGCUACUUUUUGAGCUUUAUAAACUCAACAAUGCUGUCUCAAGCCAUAUUCUUCAAGAAACCAAACCCCUAUUAACUCAAGCUCAGUGCCCUUAACCGUGCUACCUGCGCUCGAAUUUUCCCUUGGCAGCGGACCGUUUGAUCCAUUUCUCGCCAGUGGACUGUAUCAGGUCCCCCUCUUUCUCCCCCCAAAUCAUCUCCCCACCUAGUUGCUUUUGUUAGACUUUGCAGUAACUUCAGCCAAGAAGAAGAAGUGUACAGUUUUUUUCCAAAGUCACACUGGAGGGCCGGGAGCCUCAUCUUGGCUUUCACGCCUGAGCUGGGCCCGAUUGAAAGCAGAGCAGCUGUCCAAUCAGCGGCUUAGCUGAAGUGUGAAGAUAGGAGUCAAGGGGUCAGGAUGAGCAACAGGGCUUUACGAGACAUCCCUCCUCUGAUGCCAUAGCAUCUCAGUCUCAUCAAUAGGGAGACAAGUAAUUACAAAAUACACUCACACACACAAUGACGCGGGCCCAUCCAUUAAUGUCCCGCCCGGUGGGAGUGGAGUGUCGCUCCGUAAAUGCCACCGCCGUGCGCUUCUAGCUGCCAGCCGCGUGGCAGUGCGCGACUCCGCGUGCUCGUCUGUCUCCUCGACUGCAACAAUAGCCUUUGAAAGCCUGAAACAGUGGCCAACAGAUCUAUUCAGCUGCCACGGAACUGGCUUUUCACGAUUGCCCAUCGAGCCACAAACACACACGCAGGUCUCAUUAGGCGCAUGCCAUUAUGCGUGGCACGUCCGGUCGGGCGGCAGAGAUGUAAUUAACCUUUUCCUGCAGGAAACAGAUGCCUUACGCACACACCGCACACACACACACACACACACACACACACACGCGCGCGUCUGCUGUCAGGGAAACAAAGCCGACGUCACCGUGUCACAGAGAAACAAAGCCCCAAAAGAGCCGCCUGGCACUCUCUGAUAAUCCCCCUCACCCAUAUUUACAAUCAGGGCUUAGAAUACGCCUCGCCGCCGCCGUCUCCUUCCACUGCCGCACUCAGUUACCAGCACCACCACCAUCCGUGCCUCCACCCAUCCAUCUUCUUUCCCUCCUAUCUGUCCACCUUCCAUCACAUUCACCCUUUACCUCCCUCGAUCUCUUCCCCUCAUCCAUCUUUUACAUCCCAGCUGCAAAACUCCUUUGCGGGGAUUUGGUUUAUCGUCAGUGUGUCGUACGCGGCCUUGCACGCCAUCAACCGCGGAUUAUCGCCCACCCACACGCUGACUCUCUUCAUCCCCGAACAACAGGAAUUUAUUUAGGCGGACCAGAAGAAAACUGCUUCACGACAGAUUAAUGGACGGCCCCGAUAGCGUCAGCGGGUGUGUUUCUGUGCUUCUGUGUGUUUACUCAUUUCCCAGCUGCAAUCGGCGAGACGAGACAAAGCUGAAGACAUUUCACAGUGCGGAGCACCUAUUAUGAUUCACGGUGUUACGACGCGGCCCUAAUGAGAAAAAGAGAGAAUGGGAAGAGGGGCUGUAAAGGGAUAGACGAGGAAGAGAGAGAGAGAGAAAGGGGGGCUAACGCUGGAGAGAGCAGUCAUGCUAAUUGGCUACAGUGGAUAACUUUCUGAGGCGAGGGUGAGUGUGUUUGGUGAUGGGCGGGGGGGCGAGAGGUGGGGGGCGGCGGGGGGGGGGUUUUCAGAGAAAAAGAACAGCCUGAUCUGUCAGCGUUACACUCAUUUAACGCUCCCUCCAUUUCACCUCUUUAAUGAGUAAAAUAUUCGCUCCAGUAAUGGCGAAAGACUUGAAAUUGGUAACGAUUUGUUGCUCUCUCUCACACACACACACACACACACACACACAGACCAUUAGGUGGCAUAGGGGAGGGGUGGGGCUGGAGGGAGGAUAAUGUUGGCCCGAGUGGGUGUGUGUUUUCCCCCUCAAGCCAGACAAACCAGUCCUUUAUGGAUCAUGGCAAUUUUCAGGGAUGUUUAACUCAAGGACAAAGAGCUAAAAAUAGAAGGGGUCGUGCACAACUUGGUGGGAGAAGGUGUGUGUGUGUUUCGGUGUGUGGGGGUGGCGAAGACAAGUUUUGUCGCAUUAGAUUUGGGUCAGAAAACGAGGGGGAGAGCCGACGAAGCGGAGAGCGUUGCAGACGGCGGCGGAGAUUCAUCACUCGCUGCUCGCGCUUGUCUCCUUCGACGCAUCGCCGCGACCUCUCCUGCUCACCUUUCCUCCCCCAGGAUGGCAAAACCAGUGCAAGUGGCGAACAGGUGAAGGGAAUGUAUGAAGUGAGAGGAUAAUCCACAUCUAGAUAAUAUUAACAUUUGGUGUUCCGGUACCUUGAAGUAAAAUGAGCACACACAUACUGUGGCAGACCCCAGCAGGGAUGUUUCUUUUGGUCGGAGUCCGCUCCAGUUUCAAAGAUUAUAGUUAUGCCAUUUCAUUUUGACAAACGCUGACAUACCAUUCUCUCCAAUAUUAGCUGAGAGGUACAAUACCUGUAUGGUUAGCGUAAGGGGAAAUGCGAAACGAUUAAAUUAGCAUAUAGACGGAACUCCUCGCAAGACAGCCAAAAAAAAAAUCGCAUUUCCCCAAAUGUCAAACUAUGCAUUGAAUCAAAUGGGGAGUAUGUUGAUUUACCUUCUAUUACGUGAGAGAUUGAACCAAAUAAACCUGACAGAAGUGCCUUGGUCAAGGAAAAAAAUAACUUCCUCAUCACUUCUGAGUACCUUUCUCCAGGGACAAUACAAUUCAUCUCUCGCAUUAAUAAACAACUCUUCUUCCCUCAUGUGCAUCAGACAGUCGUCCCUCUAUUACAUUCUCCACGCCUCACCCCGCAUCUGCUCUAGUCGUCCUAAUGAAGACAAAAGAAUUGGUCCCACCAAGGCUAAUUAAGAGGACUGAGAUACAGACGCGCUGACAGCCUGCCGAUGGACUCAGGAGGGAAGCGCUUAGAGCUCCCUGCCAGUCACGGGGCAUCAACGAAGCGAAUGGGAAAAGGGAUGGCGAGGGCAAAAAAAAAAACAAGCAGAGGAAGAGGAGCGGAAUAGGGGUGGGGGUAUACAGCGUAAUUGAGACUGUAAUGGGUUUUGUCAGAAGCACCUGUCAGGGUCAAGUUAAAACGAUUUUGGCGCGAGGGAGACGGGAGGGAUGGGAGAGGGGAGAAGGGGGGGGGGGGGCAAUUGGAGUCAGGAUCCCGGUGAGGAGAGGCCCUCGUCCAUGCCAACCUCACCUGAUUGCCAAUUUGUGCCAGUCUACAGACAUCAAACGCCCCCAAACACGAGCCCCGCGCAGACACACCGAAAGAGGAACGCGUUCGAUCACACUCACGCACGGACGCCGACGUCAAGCUACCCGCGCCGGGCUGAUUGGACCCAUCUAGCCACUUAACGAGGUGUCCACGGUGCCGACCCUGAGCUGCGUGAUUGGGAUAUAAAGCCGCCGCCGUUAAAUAUCUAAUUCUCCGCCCACGUCUGGAUGAAAAUAAGGCGCGGCGCUGAUUAGAUUGCAGCCUGCUGCGCCAACCCGCCGGGUCUGCGCCAUGUUCGUUACCAGCCCUCGACCCCCUCCCACCCCACCCCGACAGGUACCGUACCCGCCCCCGCCCCCCGGGCCAAUCCCAUCUCGGUUCAGGUGCUCCUGCCAACCACAAACAGCCUAUUUUGUGAUGGAAAAGCAAUUCCGACACCCUCGAGAGUUGAGGUCGAUGCCUGCGGAGUGAUGAAAUUAAGUUGAGUAAAAUGCAUUUACAAAUCAAUGUUAAAGCCGCACCUGGAAAAUUAAACAUGUGACAGCCCCCCGAACGCCAGCGGGACGCAGCUGAUUUAAAUUUAGAACCUCUGACACAAUUGAAUUCUUUUAGGGAAAUAUCAGUGAAUACCCCGCUGAGGUGAAGAGGUUCAGGCGCCGUCCUCUCGGGACGAGUGCCGUCAACUAUUUGACAGCGGAAUUUCUUCAGGCAAAUAGUAAAAAGCCCAACGUUUCCCCUUUGCUGAUGAUUGUUACGUAAAACGAAACGAAACAAAAGCCGUAGAGUGAGCGACAUUAACAUGAAGACAUUUAGCUCCAAAAAGUCAUUGCAAGUCUCAUACUAUUAACUAUGAUCUCUAAAUAAUCCCCCGGGAAGCUUUUGGGGAAUGUAACCCGGUUCACUGCCAUGGUUUGGCUUUCCUUGCAGUUAUCCUUAAUAAUCUUAAGUGUCAGGAUUUAAUACGAGUAAUGAGAGCAGCCACUUUAUGUCCGAUUCAUGUGUUCGAAAGCGGAAAAAAAUCUGCCGGAGGCCUCGGAGUUUGUGGGCUGAAGGUUAGAAGAGAUGCACAAAUCCACAUGGACACGGUGUCUUUUUUUUCAUCACCUCUGAAAGAAUCAUCCGCUCAACUCUUAAGCAACUUCUGCAGCUACUCCGGUCCAUCGCCACCUUCAGCUAACACGUGGCCUCAAAACAGAGAGGAAAAGAAAUGUAUAUGGAGUCAUGUUUUCAUUCGAUGAAAACUUUCCUAAUUGUCUUGGCGCCUGAUGCUAAAUCCCCAUCACCAAAGAAAUCAAUUCCUCUCCACUUUCUCUUCAUUGUGCUCUGCCCCCCGUUCUCCCGUCAGCCGCCCUCCCCAAACUCCCACUUGCACUGGUCGAUAGCGGAACGGGCAUCUAGCAGUGGCUUUGGUCUAAGUGAGGGAUUGAUUUUUGUGUGGGUGGGGGGCGGGGGGGGGGGGGUAACUAUGGGGCUUGAGUCACAGACCUCUUCUCUAAAAUGCUCCCUGAUGAAGUCUGUGAUUUAGUUGUGCUCAAGAACAAUACUUGUCAUUAGGGGCUGAUAGCAUUCAUUAUGAGCGACGCGGCGGCGCCACUAAUGAGGCCAAACACCUCGUUCUCCUCCAGACACAACGAAGCGCGGCCGAGGCGCACGCAGGGAGACGCCACAUCGUCCCGAUUGCAGGCUUGGGUUUCACUCUCGGGGGGCCACGUUGGCUCAUCAGAGCGCCCCGGAAGCGAAAAGUGGCUGGACGGGAGUCUUUGUUUUGGAAGCUCCGCUCAUAAUAUUUACUGAGGCGCUGGUAUUGUCAGACGCACAAUGACAGGCUCCCUCCCCCCUCACCCCCCACUCCCCCCCAUCCUCCUGUCCUCCCGUCCUCCCGGCCCCCUUCCAUCCAAAGCCGAUGAGCACAGAGCGCGUUCCCAUUGUCUGCAUUCUAGAUGCUGCUUCGGGAUUUGCGUUUGGGCCUUUGUGUGUAAAUAUAC
ensembl:lncRNA